UCCCGGUUGGUGUAGUCCGGCAGCACAGCGGACUUUGGAUCCGCACGCCCAGGUUCGAGUCCUGGACCGGGAG
rnacentral:tRNA from 1 species